rnacentral:rRNA from 1 species
CAGCAGCCACGGUAAUACGUAGGUGGCAAGCGUUGUCCGGAAUUAUUGGGCGUAAAGGGCUCGCAGGCGGUUUCUUAAGUCUGAUGUGAAAGCCCCCGGCUCAACCGGGGAGGGUCAUUGGAAACUGGGAAACUUGAGUGCAGAAGAGGAGAGUGGAAUUCCACGUGUAGCGGUGAAAUGCGUAGAGAUGUGGGGGAACACCAGUGGCGAAGGCGACUCUCUGGUCUGUAACUGACGCUGAGGAGCGAAAGCGUGGGGAGCGAACAGGAUUAGAUACCCCUGUAGUCCCUGUCUCUUAUAC